AAUCUCAAUCCUCCUAGGUUUUGUAACGAAGCAGGCGUGGGCUUGGAUUAUGGCUGUCUGCUGGACUCUUUGAGUAGAGAUCGGCUCGGCUGAAAUACACGAGUAACCCAGUUUGAAUAUUAACGGCUUGACUCGGCGUAAUAGCUUUAUUUCGCUGAGGACGUUUCACAUCAAGAUAGUGGUGCUUCUAAUGCGUCGUAGCGUCAGCUGCACAACCUUUAAGC
rnacentral:misc_RNA from 1 species